rnacentral:rRNA from 1 species
GACGAACGCUGGCGGCGUGCUUAAUACAUGCAAGUCGAACGGACGGGCCCUACUUUUGUGGGGUGCUCGUUUGGCGAACACGUGUGUAUCACGCGAGUAUCCUGUCCUUAUCUUUGGGAUAUCUCUAGGGAACUGCGUCUAUUACCGGAUAUGAGCUCCUGCUCCGUGGGGGUCGAUGGAGAGUGUCGGUCUUUCGGGCUGGUUUCGCGGCUUAUCAGCUUGUUGGGGAGGUAGUGGCUUACAAGGGCUUCGACGGGUAGCCGGCCUGAGAGCGUGACCGGCCACAUUGGGACUAAGAGACGGCCCAGACUGCUACGGGAGGCAGCAGUGGGGAAUAUUGCAGAAUAGGCGGAAGCCUGAGGCAGCAACGCCGCGUGCGGAAUGACGGCCUUCGGGUUGUAAACCGCUGUCGCCUGUGACGAAGCGUGAGUGACGGUAAUGAGUAAAAAAGCAACGGCUAACUACGUG